rnacentral:rRNA from 1 species
GAUGAACGCUGGCGGCGCGCCUAAUACAUGCAAGUCGAGCGAAUGGAUUAAGAGCUUGCUCUUAUGAAGUUAGCGGCGGACGGGUGAGUAACACGUGGGUAACCUGCCCAUAAGACUGGGAUAACUCCGGGAAACCGGGGCUAAUACCGGAUAACAUUUUGAACCGCAUGGUUCGAAAUUGAAUGGCGGCUUCGGCUGUCACUUAUGGAUGGACCCGGGGCGCAUUAGCUAGUUGGUGAGGUAACGGCUCACCAAGGCAACGAUGCGUAGCCGACCUGAGAGGGUGAUCGGCCACACUGGGACUGAGACACGGCCCAGACUCCUACGGGAGGCAGCAGUAGGGAAUCUUCCGCAAUGGACGAAAGUCUGACGGAGCAACGCCGCGUGAGUGAUGAAGGCUUUCGGGUCGUAAAACUCUGUUGUUAGGGAAGAACAAGUGCUAGUUGAAUAAGCUGGCACCUUGACGGUACCUAACCAGAAAGCCACGGCUAACUACGUGCCAGCCGCCGCGGUAA